GACGAACGCCGGCGGCGUGCUUAACACAUGCAAGUCGAACGGUAAGGCCCUUCGGGGUACACGAGUGGCGAACGGGUGAGCAACACGUGGGUGAUCUGCCCUGCACUUCGGGAUAAGCCUGGGAAACUGGGUCUAAUACCGGAUAGGACCACUGCCUGCAUGGGUGGUGGUGGAAAGCUUUUGCGGUGUGGGAUGGGCCCGCGGCCUAUCAGCUUGUUCGUGGGGUGAUGGCCUACCAAGGCGACGACGGGUAGCCGGCCUGAGAGGGUAACCAGCCACACUGGGACUGAGAUACGGCCCAGACUCCUACGGGAGGCAGCAGUGGGGAAUAUUGCACAAUGGGCGCAAGCCUGAUGCAGCGACGCCGCGUGAGGGAUGACGGCCUUCGGGUUGUAAACCUCUUUCAGCACCGACGAAGCGCAAGUGACGGUAGGUGCAGAAGAAGGACCGGCCAACUACGUGCCAGCAGCCGCGGUAA
rnacentral:rRNA from 1 species